UACGUAGGUGGCAAGCGUUGUCCGGAUUUACUGGGCGUAAAGAGCGCGCAGGCGGUCGUUCAAGUCGCGUGUGAAAGCCCCCGGCUCAACUGGGGAGGGUCACGCGAUACUGAUCGACUCGAAGGCAGGAGAGGGUAGUGGAAUUCCCGGUGUAGCAGUGAAAUGCGUAGAUAUCAUGAGGAAUACCAGAGGCGAAGGCGGCUACCUGGACAAUUGCUGACGCUCAGGCACGAAAGCGUGGGGAGCAAAAGGG
rnacentral:rRNA from 1 species